rnacentral:lncRNA from 1 species
GGUUCCAGAUUUCUUUCCUAGGGUUUCUAUCUCUAGUGUUGCCUCGCUUUGAGUUUUCUUUAUUGUGUCUACUUCCCUUUUUAGGUCUAGCUUUUCAAGUGUGUUGGGGUGCCCUGGACUGGGCGAAGUGGGAGUGCUGGGUUCUGAUGAUGUGGUCCCUGAAAAUGCUGACAGUGCACCUUCAGCAAGGGGACAGAAAGAGCCACCAGUAGAGAUGAUGAAGGAGGAGACUAAAAAACGUAGACACAUUUUUUCUAUCUUAAGAGGAAUUUGUCAUAAGACAACUGUAGUCCCUCAGGACACGCAGAGACUUCCAGUCUCUAAGGCUACAUCUACAAAAGCAACUGAAAUAAAAGCAAAAGACAUACCGGAGAAUACUGAGACUAUGGAGUCGGUGGAAGAAAGAAAACAGAGACGCAUUACUGCACUAUUAAAAAGAGUUGAAGAGAAGCAAGCUAUGGCCCCUCCAGAGGUUUGUGGACCACAAGUCUGUAACAUUCCUUCGCCUAAAACAAAUGUCAGGCAUGAUAAAGCAGAGAAUGCCACUGCAGCUUCACCACUGAGCAAAGACCAUACAUCACAGUCUGUGACAAUGGUGGAACCCAAAGGAUGUAAAUUUUCUUCAGUCUUUAGAAAAUUUUAUAGGACGGACUCAAGUCCCCCCCAGGCUCCGGAGAAACCUUCAGCCCUUAAAGGUGCAUCCAAAGAAACCCAACCAACUAUUAAAACAGGAAGUCAGUGUACACCUGAAAUUAAAGAAAUAUUUUGUAAAAAAGAAGAGUUUGAAUAUCAUGAUGAGG